UGCAGUCGAGCGGAUCUUCAUUAGCUUGCUUUUGAAGAUCAGCGGCGGACGGGUGAGUAACACGUGGGCAACCUGCCUGUAAGACUGGGAUAACUUCGGGAAACCGGAGCUAAUACCGGAUAAUCCUUUCCCUCACAUGAGGGAAAGCUGAAAGACGGUUUCGGCUGUCACUUACAGAUGGGCCCGCGGCGCAUUAGCUAGUUGGUGAGGUAAUGGCUCACCAAGGCAACGAUGCGUAGCCGACCUGAGAGGGUGAUCGGCCACACUGGGACUGAGACACGGCCCAGACUCCUACGGGAGGCAGCAGUAGGGAAUCUUCCGCAAUGGACGAAAGUCUGACGGAGCAACGCCGCGUGAACGAUGAAGGCUUUCGGGUCGUAAAGUUCUGUUGUCAGGGAAGAACAAGUACCGGAGUAACUGCCGGUACCUUGACGGUACCUGACCAGAAAGCCACGGCUAACUACGUGCCAGCAGCCGCGGUAAUACGUAGGUGGCAAGCGUUGUCCGGAAUUAUUGGGCGUAAAGCGCGCGCAGGCGGUUCCUUAAGUCUGAUGUGAAAGCCCCCGGCUCAACCGGGGAGGGUCAUUGGAAACUGGGGAACUUGAGUGCAGAAGAGGAGAGCGGAA
rnacentral:rRNA from 1 species